GCCCGAGUGGCGGAAUAGGUAGACGCACAGGACUUAAAAUCCUGCGGGUGUUAAAGCCCGUGCCGGUUCAAGUCCGGCCUCGGGCACCA
rnacentral:tRNA from 1 species